UACAACUCUGAGCGGUGGAUCACUCGGCUCGUGUGUCGAUGAAGAGCGCAGCCAACUGUGUGAAUUAAUGUAAACUGCAUACUGCUUUGAACAUCGACA
rnacentral:rRNA from 2 species